UACGUAGGGUCCGAGCGUUGUCCGGAAUUACUGGGCGUAAAGAGCUCGUAGGUGGUUUGUCGCGUUGUUCGUGAAAACUCACAGCUCAACUGUGGGCGUGCGGGCGAUACGGGGCAGACUAGAGUACUGCAGGGGAGACUGGAAUUCCUGGUGUAGCGGUGGAAUGCGCAGAUAUCAGGAGGAACACCGGUGGCGAAGGCGGUUCUCUGGGCAUGUCCUGACGCUGAGGAGCGAAAGUGUGGGGAGCGAACAGG
rnacentral:rRNA from 1 species